UGUUAACGUUAGUAGGCUACAGAUCAAUCGAAGGAACACCAUUGCAAUUAAACCAGGAUAUUGGGUAUGGAACUUACAAAGGCCAAGAUGUUUUCCAUCGCCAGCAGAGAAAAUAUGGAAAAAACGGUAGUUGCAAGUUCCACUUCCGUACAAGAACUUCAAACUCAAGAAGUCAAGCCCGAUUUGUCCAACCCAAAAGACCUACUUAUACUGGAUGAACACUUAA